CUAGAAUCGAACCCUGGACCUUUCAGUUUGCAGGCCACGCUCUAUCCACUGAGCAAAACCGUCUAGGGCAACUUGCAUUUCUAACAAGUUCAUUGCUGCUGGUGUAGGGACCACAAUGUAAUAACUGUUGUCCUUAAAUGUUAACAUUAUGAUGAUUUUUUCCCCCCAUUGACCAUUAUGAUGAUUUUUUUCAUCAUCCUUAUACACACACACACACACACACACCCCACCAGAAUAUAUUUUUCAACCUGUUGCUUAUACUGUGUGUGCCAUUUUUGCUUAAUAUUUAUGCAGUUAUUUUUCAUAGUUAAAAAUAUCAGACAUAAUGAAUAACUGAUAUGACAUUCAUUGGUAUACUUCUUUGUCAUUUUUCUGUGAUAAAUAAGAUUGAAAUUAAUCUUUUGUGCUUAAAUCUUUUUUUAAUUUAAAUAAAAUAGAUUAUUUCUAUUUUCCUGAAAUGGUAUUCUAUAUCAAAGAAGGUAAACAUUUAAAUUAAAAUAUUUAAUUAAAUAUUUUGGGGCUUUUGUUUUAUUCUGUUGUGUUUUUGUUGGUGUUAUUUUAGCACUGAAGCAGUCAGCCUGAUAGCGUGAUGAAAGAUGAGUUCUGAUCUCUUUGUUGAAACUUUGUUUUUUUGUGAUAAUGGUGAUCUUCAAAUUAGGGAUACUUUUAUACUUCUUUCUUUUCAGUUUUUAUUUUAUUGAUUUUUAGAGAGAGAGAAACAUUGAUUUGUUCCACUUAUUGAUAAUGAUAUAAUAUAUUCACUAGUUGAUUCUUGUAUGUGCCCUGAUUGGGGUUCAAAUCUGUAACCUUGUAUAUCAGGACGAUGCUCUAACCAUCUGAGAUAUCCGGCUGGGGUUCAAGGUUUCUUGGAUUAUAAACUCUUAGCUGAGGUAAUAUAAAUAGAAAAAAUUAGAUACAGGAUGUGCCUGGUUUGUGUUACCUUAGAAGCAAUUGGAUGACUAUUUAUAUUAGUGAAAAUAAAUGUAGUUGUUUUGUUUAAAUGGUGCCAAUAUAACUUUAGUUAUCUGGAUAGUGCUUUCAAUCAGUUGACUUUAUAUUACAUAGAUAAUUUUUGAAAGAUUAAUUUUAAAAAUUAAAAAAAAUGCAGAUAAACAUUUUCAUUGUAGUGCCUGUCUGUAGAAGGUCGAUUUGAUAGGAAUCAUGUUUAUAAGAGAUCACAAGGUGUUAGAUUUGUUUUAUGGCAUUAGAGAGUACUGCAUCUCUGCUCUUUUGCUAUUUAUCUAAAUCUGUGAAUAUAUGAGUAAAUCUCCUAAUUUAGCAACAAAGCUUUGAAACUACAUAACCUUUUUUAUUUUACUCCAUAGGAAAAGAAACUGGAUUAAAAAAAUUAUUAUUAUUAACAAAUGGUACCUUAUGUACAGCUUUUGGGUCCCACAACCUUCAACUGGUACAGUCGUCCCCCCCUUAUCAGCAGGGUGUAUGUUCUAAGACUCCCACUGGAUGCCUAAAACUGCAGAUAGUACUGACCCCUACAUAUACCAUGUUUUUGCCUCUGCAUACAUACCCUUAACAGCUUCUCUUUGGCUUAUCUGAAUUGCCAGCAUCACUACUCUUGUGCUUAGGGGCAUUCAUUAUUAGUAACAUAAGGGUUACUUGAACCCAAGCACUGCAGUACCUUAACAAUAGAUCUAAUAACUAAGAUGGCCUCUGAAUGACUAGUGGGUAGGUAGUGUGGACAGCGGGGAUAUGCUGGACAAAGGGAUGAUUCACACCUAGGGUGGGAUGGAGCGUGACUUCAUGAGAUUUUGUCAUGCUACUCGGAAAGGCAUGCUAUUUAAAAUUUAUGGAUUAUUUCUAGAAUUUUCCAUUUAUUACUUUGACCAUGAAUAACUGAAACCACGGAAAGGGAAACUGCAUAAGGAGGUGGAGUGGUGAACUACUGUACUUGGUUAGAUCACUGAUCCAAACUCUUACAAUGAAAGUCUUAGAUAUUUUUUUGUAGGUCUUAGAUAUUUUUUUUUUUGGUCUUAGGUAUUUUAGAUUUUUAUUACAAAUUAUGUUUACAUUCAAAUGGAUGAGCAUAGGAGGGAAAUGCAUUUUAAAUGCUUGAGGCUUUUUCUGAGUAAAGGAGUUUUAGCUCUCUUAACUUGGUGGCUGAUCUCAAUGUAGCUUUAGAAUAUAUUUAAGUAAGUAUAUUAAAAUGUAGAACAUAAUACAUGUUUAAUAACAGAAUCAUUGAUCUUGGCAACACAGUUUGACUUUAUUAGCAACUGUUAGUUUUACCAAGUAAUUCAUUCAAUUCGCCAUAGCUACCUUCUUGAUAUGGGGGGGAGGGGGGGACCUGUAUUUUGUCUUUCAAUUCAUUUGUAUCCUUAGGGAUUAAAAACAAAACUUUUUUUUUUUUUUUAAGUCAAAUUUGUUUUGUAAGUGGAAGGAGGAGAGGAAGUAGACUUUUGAGUGUGUUCUUUAGUCUAAUUAUCUGGAUGGCUGCCCAUUUUUUUCCUGGCAGUAAAGAAAAGCAGUUCUUGAAUGCUGUCUUUGAUUAUCAAAUGACAUAUAUUUAAGUAUACCUGUAUUGAGUCAUUCAUGCUUUUGUGAACACAUUUGCUUUUAUCUUUUUUUCUGUAAGCUCUUAGGUUAGAAUAGUUAGGUACCAGAUUCUUUCUGUCUUUAAUUAAUGUGGCUCUCCUUUGAGAUUUAGCUAGGAAUUUUGUAACAUGUAAACCAUGAUAAAUCAAGAAGACUAUUGGUGGCUUAUAAAGCCUAUAUUUAUCAUUUCAUAUAGUAUUUCAAAUGUAUAUGUCUGUUUUCUAUUAGUGUUCCUAGCUUAUAUUUUGACUAAUUUCUAGAAAUCACGCAAGACAGUUAAAUUCACUGGGAGGAAAAUAUGUAAAUAAACCUCUAGGGAGAAGGUAUUUCCAGAUCCUUUACAUUAUCUUACAUGCAAGGUUAUUAAAAGUAGUAGUGAAGCCAGGUCAUUUUUUUCUAGGAGUUUGAAAAUCAGAGAAUACUUGGCUUAUUUCACUUUGUGCAGCUAGGCAAUUGUUUAUCAAACUUAUACUUAUUUAUGCUGAAAAUGUAUAGUAGUUUACAAUUUUGCUAUAUACUUCCUGAAUAUAAAACUAGGCUGUGCCUUAGAUUUGCUUUAAUUUUUAGUGAAGUCAGGCACACUGGAACAUGGCACCUGAAUUUUGUGUUCUUAUAUUUUAAAGGCACUGGUCUCUCUUUGUCUAUGAAGAAUUUGUAAGCUAAUAUUAUAUACAGUCUAGUCAGUGUUCCUGAGAUCAAAAGCUACUAACUAUUUUCUUUAAGUCCUCAAGAAAUCCUAAGAAAUGAUGUUUUCCUGAAUAGUAAGGAGAGAACAAAGGCUCUGGGA